GGCAGGCGCUACGCGAGAUUUUCCCCGCAGCCCAGAUGAAAGGCUGCGUUUUUCACUGGACACAAACUGUGCUCCGGCACAUCAAUGAAGUGGGCCUGAAGACUACGUAUGAGAGACGGGAGGCCGUCCAUGCACUAAUGAGAAAGUUGAUGGCUGUUCCCUUUCUGCCUGGAAUUCAUAUUCCGCGUGCAUUCAGCAGGUUGGCUGAACGAGCGACGUCCAUGAAGACCGAAGCGGUGUUCGACUACAUUAAGUCAAUCUGGAUUGAGAGUACAGUCUGGGCACCGGAAGAGUAAUCCGUGUACCGACAGACAGUCAGGACGAACAACGACACAGAAGGAACUGAAACGAGUGUUCACAACGAGAUACAGAGCUAGGGUAAUUGCGAUGUCGGAAGGUAGUGCAUUGGAUAACCAUGCAGAUGGUGCAUCCGUUGAGCACGAGAAAACUUUUCAAAUGUCAGCUGCAUGUAAAACACUUGCGAAUGUUCGCAUCAAUGCAGUCGACAGCCUUGCAGAUUCCAAUUGUUCGAACAAAACAAGAAUGGAUCACACAAAUACAUUGACAGUCGCAACGGCUUCUUCUGAGAAAACCCAGCAAACACACAAGGCUUCCCAUGCCCAUGAGAGAGAUUUGUCUAACUCCAAGUGUGGAACCUGAUUGUGCCCCUCUCCAUGGGAACCAAGUAUUUCUGCUAUCAAACAAAGCCGUUGUUACGCAGGAUGCUUCCCCAUCGCCCCAUAUUUCUUCCAGCAUUAAAAGCAUGACUCAGACUGAGGAAGCCUUACUUAAUAAUGUGACUUAAAACAUAACAUUAGACACCGAUCUAACAGAGGCUGAAGAUUCAAGAGAUAUAAUCGAUGAUACACAGUCGGGAGUUGAAAUCAGGACAUAUAAUUGGAAAUCCGAAUUCGCAAAGGCACUCGAUGAGGCGACAGAUGAUUUCCAUGGCAUUGUCUCAGAAGGUGUAAAUGAAAUGCAGGCACAGGUAUCAAUGGCAGUAAACACUGUAAAUACAAAUAAGGAAAUUGCAGUAAUUGAUACACCUAGAGAAACGGAAGAUGCAUUAAACUCGUUAAGAAAUGAGAUGGCGCUUGAAACAUCUGCAGCGUUAAAGGAAAUAGAAAUGAAGAAAAUGCAUGCUUUGACAUAAAUAGCGGUAAAGGAUGAAAAAGUGUACAUGCGCGACGCAUAGAGUUUACUCUUGAAUCAACGAAUUCCAUAACAGGUACUGGAAGCACUGAAAUAAAUGAUAUCAGUGAUGUUCUUAUUUUACACUCGGACGCAGAUCGGGAUCUGGCUAAUGAAAUCAUGAAUACUAUAGUCAACGAAUGUGACUUUAAAAUAUUUAUUGACGUUUAUGCCAAUUUUGCGACUGGAAAAUCAAAGAUGGAUAUUAUUGACAAUAUAAUGAUAACAUGUCGAUGGGUGCUGUUUUUAGUCACCCCCGAUUAUAAGAUAAACGGAUUCCAUAACUUUCAAGGUGGCGCAGUUUUGAUGAAAGAGCUGGAGGAAAAUGGUAAUACCCAUGGUCGGUUCGUGCCGUUGUUAACCGGGGGGAUAAAACAAACGGACAUCAGACGGACUUGGUUGAAAUCAAUUCAACCUAUAUGUUUUCCAGAUGAGAGAUUCAUUGAAACGAUUGUUAAGCUGAUCAAACAGUUCCGUUAGUGUAAACUUAAAUCGGUAUUAUACACAUGAUACGUGUGUUUAACCCAUGAUAUGAUCUUUGAACCGUACACCUUUUUUAAGAUCGUUCCUUUGCUUAUGAUCAAGCACCGAUUAAGUAAUCAUUAAUGAUGAUUACAUUACAUUUCACCGUUUUUUAGCUUUAAAUUAUUGGUUUAAAUUCUUAAGUCAACGUAAAUUAAUUAUUGUUUCCGUCUGUAACUAAAACUUGCCCGCAAAUAUUAUGUGGGAUAAAUGUUCCCAAUGAUCAUAAUAUAAUAUGUGUGGCGUACAAUUAAAAUGUCAAGCUCAAAAUCUGACCAGAGAAAGGUCAAUACCAAAUCAUUGCAAAGGAUAAUUUUUUAUCCGCCCUGUAACAAGUUACAUGCCUUAGGUGAUUUUGAUAUAGUUUGUAUUAUUAAUCCCAACGGCCAGACAUCGUGCAGAGUGCAACUUCUAAGCUUUUACAGAGGAUGUAAUCACGCAAUGAUCUAAAGAAAGUCAAUAUGGCGACGAGCAUGCCGAGACAUGUAUUUUUUGCCGUUGUAUACCCUUUAUUACUUUUUUUACAUUUCUAUAUACCGCUUACUUUCCAGCCAUAUCUGCAAUAAAGUGAUAAGUAUAUAUCUCGACUUAACUCAAGAAAAAAUUUCUUAGCAAGAUCACAAAAUACAGCUUCCACUCAGAAAAUUCGUAGCGAGUUAAGUCGAGAUAUAAAGCGUAUAUUUAAAAGAAACAAACGCUAUUCACUUUUUCGGCGUAAGCUGCAUAAGCCAGCUUUUCACCUUAGCCUGACCUUUGUAAGUGUCCAAUAAAAUUCCAAUAAAAUUUCCCGCGGCUAGGUACGAAUGAAUACACUUCAUUUAUUCCAUUGGCUGAUUUGAGUAUACCACCAGAACAUUGGAAACAUAUCCGCGUCUUUGUAACACUGUUUUACUGUAUGAAACAAUUUUAUCUCGAAUGAAAAGGCUUAAUAGAUAGAACAGUUUUACACUCAAUUCUCGACAUCAAUACAGUUUGUGCGUACACCUUUUAUUUUCAGAGUAUUACCAGCGCAAGAGCGUUUAUACUUAAAAGGCUAUGUUUUCAUAUUUAGUACUUACUUCCUUAUUCCUGUCAACAUGUUAACAUGUAAAAGUAUAAAGAGCAAUGGAAGCGAGGCCUCACUUUAAAGCAUUGCAUUUCAACCCGCGAGGUAUAUCGGGUCAACUCGCGGACAUUCAGAGUUUAUAUACAGGUCAUCACCGGAGUUGGCGGCCAGUAAAAUAAUCGUUAUAUAAUAAAGACGCUAUCCGUGAACUAGGUGACCUGGAAUUUUCUUUAGAACAGAAAUAUGUUAAAUGAAGAUAUUCAGCAAUAUAAUUAUGGUAUGUAAAUAAUAGAUUCUUAAUGUGUUUUCAACAAUACAAUGAUAAAUAUUAUUGUUGAUAAAUUUAACAAUAAUUAUUCGUCAAUAUUGCCUAAUGUACUAAAGUGAUAUUAUGAGCAUGUAACAGUUUAUAGGUGUCUAUCGCAACCGUUGAUUAUUUUUGAUGUUUCUACUUCAUAUACACUUAUAUUAAUUAAUGCAGCAUCAUCAUACUAAAACAAUAUACCAGAAAGAGAAAAAUAAUGCAUUUGAAUAUCAACCGUACUUUCGUUUGACAACUAAUCAUGCGUUUACGAGUUGAACCUAAAUUUAGUUUUAGUGCAGAUUUGUUCAUACGACACAAAGACACGAAAUUGUUUUACGGAUCAUUUCAGCUUACAGGACUGGGUUGGUCACGUAAGAAUAUCGAAUAUAAAAUAUAUUUUUAUAAACAACUGGUAGCAAGGUGAGUUUUCAGCUCAAUUCAACAGUGCAAAAUGCCCAUAAUAUUACUUUAAGCAUUAGCACGAUGAUAAUUGAUACUGUUAAUAAUCGAAUCAAAUAGCAAUGCCCGACAAACCACUAAAACAGGUUUGUUCGAAGAACGCGCCUAUAAAUACGGAUACUUCUCGUGUGGCCGGUUGACUCAUAUGUUUAAAUUUCACUUCCAUUCUUCGUUUGGUUUUCUGUUUUGUAUCUAUAGGUUUAUGACCAGCAAUAUGUUAUAAUGUAAAAUAAGCCGCGAAAACUCCCCGUAACAUCCCGUACUGCGUGUGAUGCAGCUAAGAACUGCACAGAAAAAGACAUUCGCUAUCCUUGAUCUCAUUCAUUAAACUAUUUACGCCGUAUAUCUUUUUUAAAGAUAUUUCUUGUUACUGAUAUGGCUGGAAAGUGAGCUGCAUUGAACAAUCAGACAAAAGUAAAAAAGGGUAAACAACGGCCAAACAUAUUAGUUUUGGCACGGACGUCGCUAUUUUGAUCGUUUCGUGAUUAUCCCCUUAAGGAAAGUCAAGUUAAAAAUUCAAGAUUUUAGUUCUUGAAGUAAAUUUUGAAACAUUCACAUGUUGCGUGUAACGUGUUAUGCUCGUCUGACUAUUUCAAAGUUCAAGGUCAUAAUUCAAAGAUCAUUUUCCAUUAGAGGUGUUCACGAAAUCAGGUGAGCGCUAAGCCAUCAUGGUCUUUUUCAACUUAAGUGAUUGACUCUGGGCGGAGGUAAUGCAUGUAAUUAAUUUUAUUGAAACGUUAAAUACUUUGAUUGAGUUUUACGAAAUUGAUCACAAAUUUAAACAAUUCAUGUGUUGUCCUAUAUAGCAUGCUUCAUGGUAAAAGACAAACGGAUGGUGACGAGACUAUCGGGGUUAUGUCCCCUGGGGUUUCAAUAUUCCUUUGUAUCAACAAAAUCGCCGAACAAAGAUUUGCUUUUUUGUCUUUAUAAAUAUUGUGGACAUAUCUUGACCCUUUAAAUUUUUAAUCAUGAACAGUGCUAUAACUGUAUUUUUAAGAACGCACAUAAAGUCUUGCGUUAUAAUGAAAAUAUAAUUGGACUUUGUUAAUCUUCUAUCAAUAUUGUGUACGACACUUCCUUUCGACAUAUUAAUAACCAACGCAAAAUCACAACUGUUUACAAUUUUUUCAACAAUUUAACAAUAAAUGUUUUAGAAACGAGCAUAACAACACAUUCAACAUAUACAAUCGCCACACACAAACUAUGUGAUGACGUGUAGAUGUUCUCAUUAUGGAAAAAUUAAACGAUUAAAAUGUACUUAUUUUUGUCGUAGUAUAAUGCCACUACGUCAUUAAAUUAGACCACAAUAAUAGUAGUCCGUAUAACAAUGGUAUUGGUUUAAUCUAUCAUUAAUUGUACAAAAAGGCAUAUUGCAACUUCUAAUCUUGUUUUUACAUGUAUUAUACG